AGCGGUUCUCCUAUUUUGCUGCCCUAUUUCCUGCUCAUUUUCUGAGGGGUCCCCUGUUCAAAAGACAAUGAAAACAUAUUAAAGGGAAUAUUAACAACAGAAGUCUCUUCGCAAAGGAGAUGAAGUCAACAGAGCAGACAAUCACCUACAAGGCUGACCACACCUUCUCUGUCUGGAGACAUCUGUCUAACAUUAAUAAGCCAUUUAGAGAAAUAUAAGGGAGAGGGGAGAAUCAUGGAUAAAAAGGACUUUCGGGAGACAGAGUGAGGAGGGUGAGACAGGAGGAAGAGGAGAAAAACUAUUAACCCACUGAAGUAGAGUCUCUAAGACAGCAAGGCCUCUGUCCUGGUCAGCAUGCAACUCAGCACUGUGCAGGAAGCAAGGAGUCUCUGGAGCUUCCUUAGGAAGAGUUUAAGAGACCAGAUGUCCAUCUUCUCGUAGCACAGUCUUAAAAACAAUUUGCAACAGUCCAGGCAUCCCAUUCAAAUUCGGAGCUAUUUUGAAAAGAAAUGAAGACAACAGCCACCGAUAAAGGCAGCCUGGAAGAGCAGGACGGUUAAAACUCAGUAUCGGGUUUUCUAGGCCAGCCUCCUGCAGAACCAUGGCUGCACUACAGCUGCACGCCCAAAAGCCUCCACGCGUGCUGAGGGCACACUCCUUCUGAGCAGACUUCUCUGAGCAAGAAGCAAGCCUGCUGACUUCUUGUAAAGAGGAAAAUACAAGGAAUAUGGAAAUGAAUGCUGGAAAGGCUAUCACAUUGCAGAAGGGCCAGCUGAGCAUGCAGAACAGAUGCCCAGGAGAGAACACUGGAGCGAAAGGGAACUCUCUGGAUGUGCUCCUCGGGAAGUCAGAGUUCUCACCGAAGGCAGUCAAUUACUGACUGCAAAGAUGGGGAGAAAGCUCCUUUGCUUUGCUUUCAGAGGGAUGGAGAGAUUUACUGCAACCAGAGGGAGGUCACAUAUAGGGCAAAUGAAGAGGAUGUGACACAUGGCUGUUGUGGCCGUUCUGAAGAGAACUCUAGACAGAAACGCUCAGGCAGGAUGGACGUGCCACGGGAGUAGCAGAUUGAGACUCUCCCCUAGGUUGCUGAGAAAGAUUCCUAAAUGGUAUGGUAGCACCACUAGCCGGGAUAGGAGAUUCUGGACCGGACUGAAAGGGGAGAGCCAAGGAUGGGCUAGAAUCUGACAUCACUGUGGGCUUUGGUGGGAGAGUGAAAGCCACCCCGCUCAAGCAUAUAGGUGCUCAGCUGAUAAAUGUGGGCGGAAGCUUCAAGAAGGAAAUGGUGGUCAAGAACGUCUCGUGAGAUGUAGGUCCCAAAGGAGUUCAGCAUGCUUGGCAGCAAGAGGGACCUUGGUGACAUGAGCGGAGGAGGGACAGGCUUCCAAAGGAAGCAGACGCUUCAGUUAUGCGGCUCCAAGUAGUUGGGUCUGGUGAUAUCGCCUUCAUGGGAUAAGCAGAGAGCUCGAAGAGUACUCUUGGCUUAGCUGGAAAAAAAAGAAUGGUCCAAGGUUCAUCUUUACAGAUCUUACAGCGUAUCAAAUCCUUCUCAGAUUUGCCAAGCUUAAAGAUAAAAUACAAGAGAAAUAAACCUCACAUGAAAGAUAGCUGAUAUACUUUAAUGAAUGAGCUCCAGAUGUUCGAUUAGAAUGAGAUACGCCUUUAUAGAAAUUAAGCAUAAUUAAAGUUUGGGGUGUCCUGUAUGAGCCGUUUACAUG